UACGUAGGGUCCGAGCGUUGUCCGGAAUUACUGGGCGUAAAGAGCUCGUAGGUGGUUUGUCGCGUUGUUUCGUGAAAACUCACAGCUUAACUGUGGGCGUGCGGGCGAUACGGGGCAGACUUGAGUACUGCAGGGGGAGACUGGAAUUCCUGGUGUAGCGGUGGAAUGCGCAGAUAUCAGGAAGAACACCCGUGGCGGAAGGCGGCUCUCUGGGACGGUACUGACGCUGAGACGCGAAAGCGUGGGGAGCGAACAGG
rnacentral:rRNA from 1 species